rnacentral:rRNA from 1 species
AUGGCGACCGGCGCACGGGUGAGUAACGCGUAUGCAACUUACCUAUCAGAGGGGGAUAGCCCGGCGAAAGUCGGAUUAAUACCCCAUAAAACAGGGGUCCCGCAUGGGAAUAUUUGUUAAAGAUUCAUCGCUGAUAGAUAGGCAUGCGUUCCAUUAGGCAGUUGGCGGGGUAACGGCCCACCAAACCGACGAUGGAUAGGGGUUCUGAGAGGAAGGUCCCCCACAUUGGAACUGAGACACGGUCCAA